rnacentral:rRNA from 1 species
AGAGUUUGAUCAUGGCUCAGGACGAACGCUGGCGGCGUGCUUAAUACAUGCAAGUCGAGCGAGGUUACUGUUUUGGAUCCCUUCGGGGUGAAGAAGCUUUAACCUAGCGGCGGACGGGUGAGUAACGCGUGGGUAACCUACCCCAAAGUCCGGGAUAACAGCGGGAAACCGCUGCUAAUACCGGAUGUCUUUACCUUGGGGCAUCUUGAGGUAAAGAAAGGUAACGCUUUGGGAUGGGCCCGCGUCCCAUUAGCUAGUUGGUGAGGUAACGGCUCACCAAGGCGACGAUGGGUAGCCGGCCUGAGAGGGUGGACGGCCACACUGGGACUGAGACACGGCCCAGACUCCUACGGGAGGCAGCAGUAGGGAAUAUUGCGCAAUGGACGGAAGUCUGACGCAGCGACGCCGCGUGAGCGAUGAAGGUCUUCGGAUCGUAAAGCUCUGUCCUUGGGGAAGAAGGCGAAAGCUUGACGGUACCCAAGAAGAAAGCCCCGGCUAACUAUGUGCCAGCAGCCGCGGUAAUACGUAGGGGGCGAGCGUUGUCCGGAAUUACUGGGCGUAAAGGGUGCGUAGGCGGCCCUUUAAGUCGGAUGUGAAAGCCCGCGGCUUAACCGCGGAAUGGCAUUCGAAACUGGAGGGCUUGAGUGUCGGAGAGGGUAGUGGAAUUCCCAGUGUAGCGGUGAAAUGCGUAGAUAUUGGGAGGAACACCAGUGGCGAAGGCGACUACCUGGACGAUAACUGACGCUGAGGCACGAAAGCUAGGGGAGCAAACAGGAUUAGAUACCCUGGUAGUCCUAGCCGUAAACGAUGGGUACUAGGUGUGGGUGGUUUCGAUACCAUCCGUGCCGUAGUUAACGCAUUAAGUACCCCGCCUGGGGAGUACGUGCGCAAGCAUGAAACUCAAAGGAAUUGACGG